rnacentral:rRNA from 1 species
UGGGGAAUUUUGGACAAUGGGCGAAAGCCUGAUCCAGCAAUGCCGCGUGUGUGAAGAAGGCCUUCGGGUUGUAAAGCACUUUUGUCCGGAAAGAAAUCCUUGGCUCUAAUACAGUCGGGGGAUGACGGUACCGGAAGAAUAAGCACCGGCUAACUACGUGCCAGAGCCGCGGUAAUACGUAGGGUGCAAGCGUUAAUCGGAAUUACUGGGCGUAAAGCGUGCGCAGGCGGUUUGCUAAGACCGAUGUGAAAUCCCCGGGCUCAACCUGGGAACUGCAUUGGUGACUGGCAGGCUAGAGUAUGGCAGAGGGGGGUAGAAUUCCACGUGUAGCAGUGAAAUGCGUAGAGAUGUGGAGGAAUACCGAUGGCGAAGGCAGCCCCCUGGGCCAAUGCUGACGCUCAUGCACGAAAGCGUGGGGGAGCAAAACAGGAUUAGAUACCCUGGUAGUCCACGCCCUAAACGAUGUCAACUAGUUGUUGGGGGAUUCAUUUCCUUAGUAACGUAGCUAACGCGUGAAGUUGACGCCUGGGGAGUACGGUCGCAAGAUUAAAACUCAAAUGAAUUGACGGGGUCAUAGCUGUUU